GUGUCAGCAGCCGCGGUAAUACGGAGGAUGCAAGCGUUAUCCGGAAUGAUUGGGCGUAAAGCGUCCGCAGGUGGCUGUGUAAGUCUGCUGUUAAAGAGUCAUGCUCAACAUGAUAAGAGCAGUGGAAACUACACGGCUAGAGUGCGUUCGGGGCAGAGGGAAUUCCUGGUGUAGCGGUGAAAUGCGUAGAGAUCAGGAAGAACACCGGUGGCGAAAGCGCUCUGCUAGGCCGCAACUGACACUGAGGGACGAAAGCUAGGGGAGCGAAUGGGAUUAGAUACCCCUGUAGUCC
rnacentral:rRNA from 1 species